UUAAUAAUUCUAUUCUACACUCGGCAAACUGGUUUGACCAAACAAUUGUUAUACAGGCUUCCUGCUUUGGCAAAGAAGGUCACAUCUUAUUGGUGUUUAGCUCUUCUUGGUACCUGGAAAUUAACAAAUUGAAUUAUUUGUUUUUCCAUAGAUUCCACUUAAGGUGGUCUUAGACCAUUCUUAUACACUAAGGCCUACCUGUAAUUUUUACUAAAUGACGCAUUUUGGACAAGUUUUUAGCAGUAAAGAGAGCCGGUUUCUAUGACUUUCUUAUCACUUUUUGGCGCGCGUUUUGCUUACUGUGUACUUCACACGAAAUCUAAAAUCUCUUAACGGGACCGCGAAAAGCCUGGGAAAAGCGUAAAAGGGGGGACAUACGAAGACACCCGUAUGUACGGAAAUACCUAUCUUCCUUUGUAAGCCUUUUGUGGUAGAACUAAAACUGAAACGAGAACUAUUGCAUUUUCCAGACCCGCACCCUUUUACACCGCACCGCCGCCUUUACCUUACCACCCGUGACUAAGGCACACUAACUAUUUUGCCUUUUUAUUCCAUUCCGAAUUUUCCGGGUUUUUGUCACUCAUCUGUUAUUCGGGAACUGCUGAUAGAAUCAAGAGGUCGAUUUCACGCGCGCUGACACCGAAUCCACACAAUCAAACGGCGGGAACUCGAGGCAAAGGCAGCGAAAAUUCUGCGCCGCCGGGAUACCACUGAGCUAGAGCCGACGAAAUCCGAUUGCUAACAAAGUUAAAUUCUUCACUAAAGAGUAAACUAGAAGAGACCCGACACUCCUCCACUGGCUUCGACGAGCGAUAAGUCUCAAUCACGCCGCCGACACGCCCACACGUUUGUCACUCUUUCUACAGCGCGAGAACCUCUGGAACCCAGGUUACGAUGAGAUCAGUCUAAAAGACUAACUGUGGCUUUUCUUUCUUCAGGUCGUAAUGAAUCAAGCAAGUUUAAUAGCCGUGUCGUGUGCAUCUGCCGCGCUCGCCAUUCUAAUCCUCCUUUCACUGUACACGUUUAUCCGAAGCCUGAGACAACAGAACGACGACAGCGAAGACGGUAGCGACCAUCGCGUUCAUAUGCAGUGGCCGCCCCGCUGCUAUCCCAUUGACACGCCCAUCCUGAUAGGGAAGAACGAGCAAGGGAGGGACAACGUAGUGGUCGAGACGGAAGAAGCAGAGGCGGCGAAGGCUCAUAACGCGCCGAAUGGUACAGCAUUACUUACCACCACCGCCAUAGUCAGUUGCGAAGCACGAGAAGACACGACGAGUCUGUGAUGGUACUGUGGGAGUGGCAAGGGGUGGCACCGUCUCUGGACUCUUGACAGACCAAAUAGGCGACCAAAUAGGCGACCAAGUGGUUACUGGAGGCAUCUUACUUAAGAAAAGGAAUAGGCGACUUACGCUAACAGAUCAUUCGACUUGGUGACAAACUUGCGCGAGCUCAGUCUUUUAUGGCAAAAUAACAACAUCAGCAAGGAAGUUUCUUGUCAAAAAUGUCUUAUGUUCAUUUGAAUAUAUGAUUUUUUUGUUUUUUUUUUUUGGCGUGAUGUACGCAUUCAUUUCUGUGUUUAUCUUGGCUUGAAUUUGCCACAAAAGUCACGUGAUCUGUUAGUGCAAGUUGCCUAUUCCUCCCCUUGAAUACGAUGCCAUGGCAGUACUUCAGUAACCAUAGUAACUGACACGGGUGGUAAGGCAGAGAAAAGGAUUUAAAAAUUGUCAUGAGUUUAAAUCAAUUUCUUUUUCUCCCUAUUUUGUAGAUAAACACUUGAGUAUUGAUAUUAUAGGAUAGAUUUUUGGACAACAUUGAAGAACAUUCAUUGGCUUUUACAAAGUUUGCACACUCGACGCUGUAACUAUGUCACUUUGGAUAACCAAUCAUUCGCGUAUCAGAGAACAUAGGAUAGGCAGGCAAUAUCCUGAAUAUCGACGGCCAAGGCAGGUCCUUGGGACCCCGCCCAAUAUUGUAUACAGCAUUUUUUGUACAUAGAAACACAGAAAGGCAUUAGUAUCACUUUGAGCAAAUACCCCUUAUUGAGGCCACUUUUUGUUAUAAGGUGACACAGAAACACAUUGCGGUUAGCACAUCGUCUGUUUAGUGGACCAAGUUUUGUUGUUUUGCGAUGUUUCUUUCAUGAGAUAUGGAUAGUUUAUUACAAAUGUGGUCUACCUUAUUACAAAUGUGGCAGGAUAUUUCAAAUCUGGCCUCAACACCCAUAAUUUUGGAAUGUAUUGGUUUUAUUGUAGUGAUAAACCUAAGCAUUGCAUGUAUUUUGUUAAAUAAACAUCAUUUUAUAACA